rnacentral:rRNA from 1 species
UACGGAGGGGGCUAGCGUUGUUCGGAAUUACUGGGCGUAAAGGGUGCGUAGGCGGCUUUUAAGUUUGGUGUGAAAUCUCCCGGCUCAACUGGGAGGGUGCGCCGAAUACUGAAUGGACUAGAGUGCGGGAGAGGAAAGUGGAAUUCCUGGUGUAGCGGUGAAAUGCGUAGAUAUCAGGAGGAACACCGGUGGUGUAGACGGCUUUCUGGACCGUAACUGACGCUGAGACACGAAAGCGUGGGUAGCAAACAGG